GUCCACGCUGUAAACGAUGGGCACUAGGUGUGGGGGGUGUCGACUCCCUCCGUGCCGAAGCUAACGCAUUAAGUGCCCCGCCUGGGGAGUACGGCCGCAAGGCUAAAACUCAAAGGAAUUGACGGGGACCCGCACAAGCAGCGGAGCAUGUGGUUUAAUUCGACGCAACGCGAAGAACCUUACCUGGGCUUGACAUGUGCCUGACCGCCCUGGAAACAGGGCUUCCCUUCGGGGCAGGUUCACAGGUGGUGCAUGGCUGUCGU
rnacentral:rRNA from 1 species